rnacentral:rRNA from 1 species
AGAGUUUGAUCAUGGCUCAGAACGAACGCUGGCGGCAGGCUUAACACAUGCAAGUCGAACGGUUGUAGCAAUACAGCAGUGGCAGACGGGUGAGUAACACGUGGGAACCUUCCUAGGGGUACGGAACAACUCAGGGAAACUUGAGCUAAUACCGUAUACGUCCGUAAGGAGAAAGAUUCAUCGCCCCUAGACGGGCCCGCGUAGGAUUAGGUAGUUGGUGAGGUAACGGCUCACCAAGCCUACGAUCCUUAGCUGAUCUGAGAGGAUGAUCAGCCACACUGGGACUGAGACACGGCCCAGACUCCUACGGGAGGCAGCAGUGGGGAAUCUUGGACAAUGGGCGCAAGCCUGAUCCAGCCAUGCCGCGUGAGUGAAGAAGGCCUUCGGGUUGUAAAGCUCUUUUACCAGGGACGAUAAUGACGGUACCUGAGAAUAGCC